GGAUGUAAGGGCAAUCUGGCCAUGACAUCUGUCAUUGCACUGAUUGCCAGGGUUAAUUAGCUGACCUGGCCAGCUUUAUGAUGCUCGCCUCCUUCGUCACUGCCCCACAAGCAUCCUUCCCAAAUCUGUGUGCUCAGGUACACCCUCCCUAGCCAAGCGUCCUUCUUUAGUCUCUAAGGGCCCUUCUUUAAUCAGGGAGAUAGCUGCUCCCUGAUGAAGCCUCCACACAAGCUCUUAAGAAUCAUGGAGCUCACUUGGUGAUGGGCUGUGGGGUAGGGGCAGUGAAGGGAGGCAGAUGUGGUGCCUGUGUUU
rnacentral:snRNA from 1 species